AGAGUUUGAUCAUGGCUCAGGACGAACGCUGGCGGCGUGCUUAACACAUGCAAGUCGAACGGAAAGGCCCUUCGGGGUACUCGAGUGGCGAACGGGUGAGUAACACGUGGGUGAUCUGCCCUGCACUUUGGGAUAAGCCUGGGAAACUGGGUCUAAUACCGAAUAGGACCGCAUGCUUCAUGGUGUGUGGUGGAAAGCUUUUGCGGUGUGGGAUGGGCCCGCGGCCUAUCAGCUUGUUGGUGGGGUAAUGGCCUACCAAGGCGACGACGGGUAGCCGGCCUGAGAGGGUGUCCGGCCACACUGGGACUGAGAUACGGCCCAGACUCCUACGGGAGGCAGCAGUGGGGAAUAUUGCACAAUGGGCGCAAGCCUGAUGCAGCGACGCCGCGUGGGGGAUGACGGCCUUCGGGUUGUAAACCUCUUUCAGUAUCGGCGAAGCUCCAGGAUUUUUCUUGGGGUGACGGUAGGUACAGAAGAAGCACCGGCCAACUACGUGCCAGCAGCCGCGGUAAUACGUAGGGUGCGAGCGUUGUCCGGAAUUACUGGGCGUAAAGAGCUCGUAGGUGGUUUGUCACGUUGUCCGUGAAAACUCACAGCUUAACUGUGGGCGUGCGGGCGAUACGGGCAGACUGGAGUACUGUAGGGGAGACUGGAAUUCCUGGUGUAGCGGUGGAAUGCGCAGAUAUCAGGAGGAACACCGGUGGCGAAGGCGGGUCUCUGGGCAGUAACUGACGCUGAGGAGCGAAAGCGUGGGGAGCGAACAGGAUUAGAUACCCCGGUAGUCCAA
rnacentral:rRNA from 1 species